rnacentral:tRNA from 1 species
CACUAGGAAGCUUGCAAAGCACUAGCCUUUUAAGCUAAAGAAGAGAGAGUUCCUCCCAAGUGA